rnacentral:rRNA from 1 species
AUUGAACGCUGGCGGCAUGCCUUACACAUGCAAGUCGAACGGCAGCACGGGAGCAAUCCUGGUGGCGAGUGGCGAACGGGUGAGUAAUAUAUCGGAACGUGCCCAGUAGUGGGGGAUAGCCCGGCGAAAGCCGGAUUAAUACCGCAUGAGACCUGAGGGUGAAAGCGGGGGAUCGCAAGACCUCGCGCGAGUGGAGCGGCCGAUAUCAGAUUAGCUAGUUGGUGGGGUAAAGGCCUACCAAGGCAACGAUCUGUAGUUGGUCUGAGAGGACGACCAGCCACACUGGGACUGAGACACGGCCCAGACUCCUACGGGAGGCAGCAGUGGGGAAUUUUGGACAAUGGGCGCAAGCCUGAUCCAGCAAUGCCGCGUGCAGGAAGAAGGCCUUCGGGUUGUAAACUGCUUUUGUCAGGGAAGAAAUCCCUUGGGAUAAUACCUCGGGGGGAUGACGGUACCUGAAGAAUAAGCACCGGCUAACUACGUGCCAGCCGCCGCAGUAAUAC